rnacentral:rRNA from 1 species
UACGUAGGCAGCAAGCGUUGUUCGGAGUUACUGGGCGUAAAGGGUGUGUAGGCGGUUCACUAAGUUCGGUGUGAAAUCUCCCGGCUUAACUGGGAGGGUGCAUUGAAAACUGGUGGGCUUGAGUAUGGGAGAGGUAAGCGGAAUUCCUGGUGUAGCGGUGAAAUGCGUAGAUAUCAGGAGGAGCACCUGUGGUGUAGACAGCUUACUGGACCAUCACUGACGCUGAAACACGAAAGCGUGGGUAGCAAACAGG